rnacentral:tmRNA from 1 species
GGGGGCGCCACGGUUUCGACGGGGAUAAUUGAGGUUGACAGUGGCACGCGGAGGUUUCUACCGGGCUCCUUAAACAGGUAGAAAACAAGUAAACGCCAACGACUACGUUUACGCACAGGCUGCUUAAGCAGCCUCGUCCUGCCGGGUUCUCCUGACGGCUCGAACAGGGCGCAAAAUCAGCCAGGAUAGCCGAUUCCGAUCUCCUGUGGCGGAUGAGGCGAAACCCUACACAGGAUAGCCGACGAGGGAUCCCGUCCCCGGGAGGCCUCCGAGGCGAAUCGUAAAUCGGGGACUAAGCGUGUAGAAGCUGCAGCUGAAGAUUUCCGGACGCGGGUUCGACUCCCGCCGCCUCCACCA